GAUGAAGAACGCAGCGAAAUGCGAUAAGUAAUGUGAAUUGCAGAAUUCAGUGAAUCAUCGAAUCUUUGAACGCACAUUGCGCCCGCCAGUAUUCUGGCGGGCAUGCCUGUUCGAGCGUCAUUUCAACCCUCAAGCCCCCGGGCUUGGUGUUGGGGAUCGGCGUGCCCUCGCGGCGCGCCGUCCCCUAAAUCUAGUGGCGGUCUCGCUGUAGCUUCCUCUGCGUAGUAGCAACACUCGCACUGGAUCGCAGCGCGGCCACGCCGUUAAACCCCCCACUUCUGAAAGUUUGACCUCGGAUCAGGUAGGAAUACCCGCUGAACUUAAGCAUAUCAAUAACGGAGGA
rnacentral:misc_RNA from 1 species